AUUGAACGCUGGCGGCAGGCCUAACACAUGCAAGUCGAGCGGAGCGGCGGACGGGUGAGUAAUGCCUAGGAAUCUGCCUGGUAGUGGGGGAUAACGCUCGGAAACGGGCGCUAAUACUGCAUACUAUUAGAUGAGCCUAGGUCGGAUUAGCUAGUUGGUGGGGUAAAGGUCAACCCAGGCGCAGAUCCGUAACUGGUCUGAGAGGAUGAGCAGUCACACGGGAACUGAGACACGGUCCAGACUCAUACGGGAGGCAGCAGUGGGGAAUAGUGGACAAUGGGCGAAAGCCUGAUCCAGCCAUGCCGCGUGUGUGAAGAAGGUCUUCGGAUUGUAAAGCACUUUAAGUUGGGAGGCGUUACCAACAGAAUAAGCACCGGCUAACUUCGUGCCAGCAGCCGCGGUAAUUC
rnacentral:rRNA from 1 species